GACGUACUUGUACUGAUUGAGAUUUUAACACGAAGUGAGUGGCGAACGGGUGAGUAACACGUGGGUAACCUGCCCAGAAGUAGGGGAUAACACCUGGAAACAGAUGCUAAUACCGUAUAACAGAGAAAACCGCAUGGUUUUCUUUUAAAAGAUGGCUCUGCUAUCACUUCUGGAUGGACCCGCGGCGUAUUAGCUAGUUGGUGAGGUAAAGGCUCACCAAGGCAGUGAUACGUAGCCGACCUGAGAGGGUAAUCGGCCACAUUGGGACUGAGACACGGCCCAGACUCCUACGGGAGGCAGCAGUAGGGAAUCUUCCACAAUGGACGCAAGUCUGAUGGAGCAACGCCGCGUGAGUGAAGAAGGGUUUCGGCUCGUAAAGCUCUGUUGUUAAAGAAGAACGUGGGUAAGAGUAACUGUUUACCCAGUGACGGUAUUUAACCAGAAAGCCACGGCUAACUACGUGCCAGCAGCCGCGGUAAUACGUAGGUGGCAAGCGUUAUCCGGAUUUAUUGGGCGUAAAGCGAGCGCAGGCGGUCUUUUAAGUCUAAUGUGAAAGCCUUCGGCUCAACCGAAGAAGUGCAUUGGAAACUGGGAGACUUGAGUGCAG
rnacentral:rRNA from 1 species